CCCGACUGUUGCCGCCAACCAUGAAACGUGCAGUGGAUCCACAACUUCCCCAAGGUCCAAGGUUGAUUACAGAGGGACAUCUCAGCAGCACAACCAACCUGCACUUGCAGUUCCACAGUGGUGUCUAUUUUCUGGCUUUGCAUGAUAACUCAGUUCCAAAGAGCAGAUGGUAAUAGUUAGCUGCCUUCUGCACCUGCAUGGAUGAGAGCAGAUCUGAAGAAACUCUUCUAUUCCAAACUUCUCAUCUCAGCCUUCUGAGAGUUAUUUAGGAUCACAAGAAAAUUCAAGACUCCUGCAGGUCAACUUGUCCAACUUCCUCCUCAGGUACCAUUGGCUGUGAAGAGUCAGACCAGGACACUCAGACCUUCAUCAGCCCCUUUUCUCAUCCCUUCCUGGCUCAAGGUCUUCACACAUCACGAGGCUGAGCAGGUGCUGUAGACAGGACAACUCAGCUGUGGGUGGAAAUCUCUCAGCCACACAUCUUCCCUUUGCUGGACAAACAAACAGCAUCUCCAGCUGUGCUGUUAAGUUCUUGUGAUGUGAAACACCAGCAAGCAAUAUACAUUUCUGCAAACCCAGCAUGCUCAGAUGGGAAUUCCCAUACAUGAGCCACAGGGCCAGUCCAGAAUGUGCCUUUGUGAAAACCUUUCUGGACAUGGAGAGCUUCAUGGCACACAAAUACCUUUAAGUGGUGAGGAGCUCAUUUGUGACUUGCUGAAGGCAUCCUUGGUUUUCAAUUUGGGGAGUCAGGCAGACAGUAUUUACCAAGUCUUUGUUUAACUGUACAAGCCUCCUGUUUUAGCUUUUCUGUCUGGUUAUUUCUGCAUAUAUGAAAGAAGUCAGAUGGACUAGAAAAGUGGAAAAGUAUGUAUCAUAAGCUCCCCUGCAAUUUAAGCAGAGGCAGUAUGUGAUAAUGGAGAUUACAACUUAAUGAAUGGCACCUAACAUGCACUCACAUCUAUGAAUCCCUCUGCUUAAGGCUUGAGUAUCUAAUCAGUGACUCAAAAUUACACAAACAAACAGACUGUAUUUGUAAACAAGGUCUAUAAUCUCAUUGUGCAAAGUGAUUAGUACAUAACACAGAUGACCGUAUGCAUUCAUAGCCCCAUCUGGACAAUCUGCAUCCACAAAGUGCAAGCUAAUGGGCCUCAUCCUGACCUCUCAUUUGUUUACAUGGGUUUUGUCAGUGCAUGUCCUGAUCCACACCAUUUGUUUACAUGGGUUUUGUCAGUGCAUGUCCUGAUCCACACCAGUGACAACAGAACUCUCUACUUUCUCCCCAUUGCUAAUAAGAAUUUGCAUCAAAAUCUCACAGAGCGAGCAGGCAGUGAACAGCCCUUUGCUUUGGGAAUCACUAAAAACCUGAACUUCAGUGCUGCAUCUGUAGGAAGACCACCAAAUUUGCCUUCUUUUGCAAGCUAUUGAAAAAUAAGAUCAAUACACGGCAAUCAUAGUAAGAG
ensembl:lncRNA